rnacentral:rRNA from 1 species
CCGUAGAGUUUGAUCGUGGCUCAGGGUCUUGUACACACCGACCCCUGCCUUUUAGAGGCGAUGACAUUCGGAAACGGCGCUAAUACCGCAUAUUUUCACGAAUCGGAUGAAUUCUUGAAGAAAGGUGUCUUCUGCUACCACUAACGGAUGGACCCGCGGCGUAUUAGCUAGUUGGUGAGGUAAUGCCUCACCAACGCAAUGAUACGUAGCCCACCUGAGAGGGUGAUCGGCCACACUGCCGACUGAAACACGCCCCCAGACUCCUACGGGAGGCAGCAAUAGGAGAAUCUUCCGCAAUCGACGAACCUCUGACGCAGCAACGCCCCGUGAGUGAAGAACGUUUUCUGAUCGUAAAACUCUGUUGUUAAAGAACAACAACGAUGAGAGUAACUGCUCAUCCCCUGACAGUAUUUAACCAGAAAGCCACGGCUAACUACGUGCCAGCAGCCGCGGUAAUACGUACGUGGCAAGCGUUGUCCGCAUUUAUUGCGCGUAAAGCGAGCGCAGGCCGUUCUAUAAGUCUGAUGUGAAAGCCCCCGGCUCAACCGGGGAGGGUCAUUGGACACUGGACAACUUGAGUGCAGAAGAGGAGAGUGGAAUUCCACGUGUAGCGGUAAAUGCGUACAUUUCUGCAGCAACACCAGUGGCGAAGGCGACUCUCUGGUCUGUAACUGACACUUGGCUCUGAAGCGUGGGGAGCAGACAGGAUUAGAUACCCUGGUACUC